AUUGAACGCUGGCGGCAGGCCUAACACAUGCAAGUCGAAUGGUAGCAGGAAACAGCUUGCUGUUUCGCUGACGAGUGGCGGACGGGUGAGUAAUGUCUGGGAAACUGCCUGAUGGAGGGGGAUAACUACUGGAAACGGUAGCUAAUACCGCAUAACGUCGCAAGACCAAAGAGGGGGACCUUCGGGCCUCUUGCCAUCAGAUGUGCCCAGAUGGGAUUAGCUAGUAGGUGGGGUAACGGCUCACCUAGGCGACGAUCCCUAGCUGGUCUGAGAGGAUGACCAGCCACACUGGAACUGAGACACGGUCCAGACUCCUACGGGAGGCAGCAGUGGGGAAUAUUGCACAAUGGGCGCAAGCCUGAUGCAGCCAUGCCGCGUGUAUGAAGAAGGCCUUCGGGUUGUAAAGUACUUUCAGCGGGGAGGAAGGGAGUAAAGUUAAUACCUUUGCUCAUUGACGUUACCCGCAGAAGAAGCACCGGCUAACUCCGUG
rnacentral:rRNA from 1 species